AUGCUCGUUUCAGCAGCACAGAUACUAAAACUGGAACGAUACAGAGAAGAUUAGUGUGGCCCUUACACAAAGAUGACACACAAAUUCGUGAAGCUUCCAUAUUUUUU